rnacentral:rRNA from 1 species
UACGUAGGGGGCUAGCGUUGUCCGGAAUCAUUGGGCGUAAAGCGCGUGUAGGCGGUCCGGUAAGUCCGCUGUGAAAGUCGGGGGCUCAACCCUCGGAUGCCGGUGGAUACUGUCGGGCUUGAGUACGGAAGAGGCGAGUGGAAUUCCUGGUGUAGCGGUGAAAUGCGCAGAUAUCGGGAGGAACACCAAUGGCGAAGGCAGCUCGCUGGGACGUUACUGACGCUGAGACGCGAAAGCGUGGGGAGCAAACAGG